CGAUCAAGAUGAGAUUCGAACUCACGUGGGGAAACCCCAAUGGAUUGCUAACCUUAACCACUCGGCCACCUGAUC